rnacentral:rRNA from 1 species
UAGAUAAAUAUUAAAUGUAUAUCCUGCCCUAUGAUUAAUUUUAAAUGGCUGCAGUAUUUUGACUGUGCAAAGGUAGCAUAAUAAUUAGUCUUUUAAUUGUGGACUGGAAUGAAUGGUUUAAUGAAUGAUUUAUUUUAUUAAUUUUAGUUUUAUAAUUUAAUUUUUAAGUAAAAAAGCUUAAAUUUAUUUUUGGGACGAUAAGACCCUAUAGAACUUAAAUUAAUUUUAAAAUUUAACAAUUUUAAGUUUUUUUAAUAUUAAUUUUAAUGUUUUUUUUUGUUGGGGUGACAGAUAAAUUUAACUUUAUUUAUUUUUAUCAUUAAUUUAUGUUUAAUUGAUCCAUUAUUUGAUUUUAAGAUUAAGUUACCUUAGGGAUAACAGCGUAAUUUAAAUGGGGAGUUCAUAUCUAUAUUUAAGUUUGCGACCUCGAUGUUGAAUUAAGGUUAAUUUAGGGGGUAG